rnacentral:rRNA from 1 species
UCAAGUUUGAAAGAACCUCUGGCCACAUUGGGGAUGAAAUCUCCCAAGUAGUAAUAACACUACCCGCAGUCGAGAAUAUUAGUCAAUGCUCGUAAGAGUGAACUAGCUAACUGAAAUCAUAGAAUUUUUUCAAAUUCAUGAUGUCGUAAGGGAAAAUAAUGAUAAUACCUUACUAUGAGUGUCGUCCAAAUCUGGUGCCAGAAGACUCGGUAAGACCAGAGACGCAAACGUUAAUCAUCAUAAACAGGCGUAAAGGGUUUGUAGGCAGCUUUUAUAAAAAUAUGAAAAAAUCAAAAACUAAAUUAAAAGCUAGAAUCAAAAAGAGGUUAUAGUGUAUAACGCCUAGAGGAGGGCUGAUAUCCAUAGAUCCUAGGCAGAAUACUCAGGGCGAAGGCCACUCUCCACUAAUGAUUGACGCUGAGAAACGAAGGUUAGGGUAGGAAAUAGGAUUAGAUACCCCGGUACUCCUUUCUGUAAACGAUGAAUGGUAGUCAUUAGUUAAAUUAAAAUAACUAGAGGCGAAGUUAACACAAUAACCAUUCCGCCUUGUGAGUACUACUGCAAAGUAGAAAACAAAAAAAUUAGUCGGUCUCGAAGCAAACGGAUUGAAGCCUGUUAUUUAAUACGAUAAUCCGCGUAAAACCUUUCCCGAACUUGCAUACAAACUAUAAAUUUUCUUUCCUGAAAAGGUAGAGGGAGUAUUAGGA